CAAUGCCCUUCGAAAUCCCAAA
rnacentral:miRNA from 1 species